AUUAAAGCUCUCCUCCAAACCUUGAAGGUUUGCAUAGGAGAGCAGGUGAGAGGUGUGAUUCCCUGGCCCCACUGCCUUGUUCUUGAGCUGGACAACAAGUUGCGCUGGUGCUUCACACACAGACUGGCUUUGGGUAAAGAGCUGAGAUGACUUGAACAGGAAGUCCCUGGGCUUCCUUCUGCUUUUGAAUGAGCCUGAUACCUAAAUCUCAAUGAGGAAGUCAUUUGCCUGCUGCAGGAGGUCUCCCUUUGGAAGAUGCUGUUCAUAGGCAUAAGCCAGCUGCCUCCUCACCUUCUAGGGCAUCCCCUGCCUUCCCAGAGCUCAGAAGUGCUGCAGAGCUUUUUCCCUUGCAGCUGUAACACAGGGAAGAAAGGAACCCACACUUGGAUCCCUGGAGGCAGGCAAUCUAUUGUCCUCAAAACAAAGGAACUUUUCCUCGGAAGUACCAGCAACAAUGCAAAGUGCCCAAGAGCCUUUACUUCAUCCUGGACCAGGCUUCCUGAUGGUUUCCAGGAUGCUUGUCUGGUCUGACAGCUCUGAAAUGACUGUCUACAUGGAUAUGAGGAACAUGCAAGAAACUUCAGGUGCAAGGUGACUUCUUGUCUCAGUACUGGGGACCUGGGCUUCGAGCAGACCUAAAGGAUGUUGGGUGGACAUAACAGCCCAGAAAAUCCUCCAUACAGCAGAGGAAACUCAUUUUGAAACCUCAAGAGCUGCUGUGAAAUGGGAUCGUCAUCCUCCAGGGAGCUCUGGUGCCUCCAUGCCUUAAGCAGUCGUGACUAACUCUCACACCAGCCUGGCACGUGAGUUAAGCAGUGACACUUGGGAAUACCGGGAAGUUCACCAACAUCCUCAUUUAGCAGUGCAGGCUGGGUUUGCAACUCUGUGAUGACUCCAUGGCGGGUUUAGAGCUCAGGCAUGUGAGUCUCAAAUCAGACAGCAACGUCAAGCAAAUAACACUCCCACUAAGACUUGCUUUAGUUCUUCUCAUCUUGCUAUGCACGAGUACCUUUUACUUCUUUUUAUUUUAUUAUUACUAUUUUAGGUUUCCUUUUCCUCACACCCUGAUUCAUUUUGCAUUUUUCUUCCAUUCCCGUGCACACAAAGGGCAGCACAAGACCAGCCGAUCUUUUAGUCUUCUCCAGUGGCUGUUCUAGACCCAGAUAUUGAGCCUAUCUGAGAAAACUGAGAAGCAAAGCUCCUUCUUAAUUCUACCCUGGUGUUUUGUCACUGUGGGUAUGGCCAAUGUCAGCAAGGACUCUAUAACUUCAUCUGCCAACUGAGCUCUGGCCAUCAUCCAGGAACAGAGUGUGAUGCUCCCUGUCCCAGGUUGAGGCCUAGCCUCAUCUGCCAGUGCUGCCGUAGGCUUUUUACCCCAAAAUGCAAGGUAUGGAAUCACCUUUUAGAUAGGACCUGGAGAGCUAAAGCUGGGAUCCACAGUCUUGUUUGAAUGUCAGCCUGCGUCUCAUCAAGGCAGAUCAGAAAGCAUCAGGCUGGCUUAUGAGGGCAGCACCCCUCCCUUGCCAUAAUCCGUGCUCCUUAUCCAUGCAUAUGAAUGCAAAGAGGAAAUGUUAUUUCUGUGGUGACGCAUCCUUGAGAGAAUCUAAUCUGGAUUUAUUCAGGUCGUAAAACUGACUUAGCACUGUGGUACCUAGACAGCAGGAUAAAUACAACCUUCUAUUUAUAACACUGCCAAUCUGGCACCACUCAUAAGCACUAAAAAUACAACUUUUUUACAAAGCAAGUGGAAUUAAUGGGUGCUGUUUUUGCAUUGUCUCUGAGCCAGUCCCUGAUCCUAGGGCAUGGUGCCUGGCAGACAUUCUGCACAACAUGACUGAAAUGCCACCUCUUUGGAGGGUCAGGUGCUGUGGUAGCAGCAACUCCUUUCUCUUCAGGUGCUCUGACUGUGUGUAACCCCUCCACAAGUCUGGGACAGGAGUUUUGAGUCCUGAUAAUCAAAUGACACAAGCAAAGCCUAGGAAAAAGGCAAUUUGCUCUGCUGGAGCUGCCUGGCACACGCCUCUGGUCCAACUGUGUGAAGCCCAUCCUCCUCUCCAGCUAAGCUUGUAUGAGCUUGCAGGAGCAUUAAGAGGGUGAAUGCUGCUGGAGGCAGUAUGCGAACAGCUGAGCUGGUGCUAAAGCUGCUGCUCUUCUCUCCCCUCUCUGCCAGGUCCAGCCUGUGUUAUCACCACGGGCACCAGGGCUUGGCUGCCAGCACUGGAGGGGAUGCGUCAGACACAGAGGCAGAGCCUGGGCUGACCCAGCUGCACAGCAGAGCCAAAGAACCCCAGUCUCGUCAGGCUUGUGCAAUCCACCAUGUGGUAAUCAAGGGCUGGCUGCCCUAGGACAGUGGAUCUAGAUUAACUUGUCAAGUGAUCUGUUUAAGUUGCAGGUGAACCCACAGUGGAUCUUCUUUCCUAGGACUGAAGUGAGCCUCACCUGCUAACUAUAGAAGCCUUUAUGGCAGAGCUGGCAUGGUUUGAGUUAAGGUGCAGGCAUCAGGCAUGGCACUGUGUGAUGAGGAAGCAACAGACGUCAGUG